rnacentral:lncRNA from 10 species
CGGGUGCCUCUCGCCCUGCAGGACGUGGCUGGCCUGGUCUGCCCCCAGCUGAGCCUCACCUGAGGGAGAGCUGGGGUGGGCCGCCUCGUUUACGACCGUGUAGUCGUCUUUUGCACACAAAGCCAUGUGAGUCCGUACGUGAGUCCUGUGGAAAGACAAGACAUGGAAUAGGAGUGACGUCCGUCCCCAGGCAUGAAGUGGAGAGCAUCACGCUGUGCCUGAGCUCCGGAUAUUUCUCCUGUUCUGGAGACAGUGAGAAGUGAAAGAGAAAUGGCUGCCCCUGCACCACUUACCGCGAAGGAGGCUCAAGGCUGGGGGGCCCCUCUGCCUUCCAGUGACCGCCCGUGUCACAUCCUGACCCGCUCAGCAGAGACGGCCAGAGGCAUGGAUGCACGCUGACUCGUGGACGGCCGCUGUUUGACGAGACCAUCAAGGAGGGAGGAGCACCCGUGGAAAGGCGUGGCAGGGUGGUCGGGGCAGAGGUGUACAUCAGCCUAUCCAAUGCUCACGGCUGGAGGACGCCGCGCCCUGUGAAUGCUCACUGAGGACCAUCCCGGGCACUGGGGCUCUCCAUGUGAGAAUGGACAAUAUGCUGCCUUCCCAGCUGCCCCAUCCUUCCUGCGAGAGCUUGGGGAUGGGUGGCCACAGUGGCACUGGGGAGAACACGAGGGCUCCCCAGCAAGCGUUUUCUCUCAUGGAGGUGGCUCUGGUCACAGCGUCACUGCAGGGCGCAGCCACGGUGGCGGCCAAUGGAAACUGGGCUCUUCUUUUUCUUUUUUUUUUUGAGACAGAGUCUCGCUCUGUCACCCAGGCUGGAGUACAAUGGC